AACAAACGCUGGCGGCGUGCCUAAUACAUGCAGGUCGAUCGGGGUGACAAUACCUGGUGGCGCACGGGUGAGGAACGCGUGGAUGAUCUGACUUAGAGGGGGGGAUAACUAGUCGACAGAUUAGGUAAUACCGCAUAAGACCACGAGAACUGCGGGUAAACGGGUCAAAGGUUUUUCGCACUAAGAUGAGUCCGCGUAAGAUUAGCUAGUUGGUGAGGUAAUGGCUCACCAAGGCGACGAUCUUUAACUGGUCUGCGAGGAUGAUCAGUCACACUGGAACUGAGACACGGUCCAGACUCCUACGGGAGGCAGCAGUAGGGAAUAUUGCACAAUGGAGGAAACUCUGAUGCAGCGACGCCGCGUGAGUGAUGAAGGCCUUCGGGUCGUAAAGCUCUGUCGCAGGGGAAUAACACAAUGAAUGUACCCUGUAAGAAAGGAUCGGCUAACUUCGUGCCAGCCGCCGCGGUAACAC
rnacentral:rRNA from 1 species